rnacentral:rRNA from 1 species
ACGCUGGCGGCACGCCUAAUACAUGCAAGUCGAACGAAGUAGCAAUACUUAGUGGCAGACGGGUGAGUAACAUGUAGGUAUCUUCCCUUUGGUGAGGAAUAACACGAGGAAACUUGUGCUAAUACCUCAUAAGUCUUUACGGAGAAAGCUUUAUGCGCCAAUGGAUGAGCCUGCACUUGAUUAGUUUGUUGGUAGGGUAAUGGCCUACCAAGACUGUGAUCAAUAGCUGAUUUGAGAGGAUGAUCAGCCACAUUGGGACUGAGACACGGCCCAAACUCCUACGGGAGGCAGCAGUAGGGAAUCUUGCACAAUGGAGGAAACUCUGAUGCAGCGAUGCCGCGUGAGUGAAGAAGGCCUUUGGGUUGUAAAGCUCUUUCGUCGGGGAAGAAAAUGACUGUACCCGAAUAAGAAGGUCCGGCUAACUUCGUGCCAGCAGCCGCGGUAAUACGAAGGGACCUAGCGUAGUUCGGAAUUACUGGGCUUAAAGAGUUCGUAGGUGGUUAAAAAAGUUGGUGGUGAAAUCCCAGAGCUUAACUCUGGAACUGCCAUCAAAACUUUUUAGCUAGAGUAUGAUAGAGGAAAGCAGAAUUUCUAGUGUAGAGGUGAAAUUCGUAGAUAUUAGAAAGAAUACCGAUUGCGAAGGCAGCUUUCUGGAUCAUUACUGACACUGAGGAACGAAAGCAUGGGUAGCGAAGAGGAUUAGAUACCCUCGUAGUCCAUGCCGUAAACGAUGUGUGUUAGACGUUGGAAAUUUAUUUUCAGUGUCGCAGCGAAAGCAAUAAACACACCGCCUGGGGAGUACGACCGCAAG